CCUGAUUUGAACCAACUUGAAAACUGGGCCAAUAAUCAAAAAUCUAUGUACAUUUUUAGAUUCAGCAUAUCAAAGAACCCCAAGGAUUCAAUUUUUGUUAAAAUCAAACUUAGUUUAAUUUUGGACCCUUUGGACUUUAAUGUAGACCAAUUUGAAAACAGGACUAAAAAUUAAGAAUCUACAUACACAGUUAGAUUUGGCAUAUCAAAGAACCCCAUUUAUUCAAUUUUUGAUGAAAUCAAACAAAGUUUAAUUUUGGACCCCGAUUUGGACCAACUUGAAAACUGGGCCAAUAAUCAAAAAUCUAAGUACAUUUUUAGAUUCAGCAUAUCAAAGAACCCCAAGGAUUCAAUUUUUGUUAAAAUCAAACUAAGUUUAAUUUUGGACCCUUUGGACCUAAAUGUAGACCAAUUUGAAAACGGGACCAAAAAUAAAGAAUCUACAUACACAGUUAAAAUCGGC
rnacentral:lncRNA from 1 species